rnacentral:rRNA from 1 species
AACGAACGCUGGCGGCAUGCCUAACACAUGCAAGUCGAACGAGACCUUCGGGUCUAGUUGCGCACGGGUGCGUAACGCGUGGGAACCUGCCCUUAGGUUCGGAAUAACUCCCCGAAAGGGGUGCUAAUACCGGAUAAUCUCUUCGGACCAAAGAUUUAUCGCCUUUGGAUGGGCCCGCGUUGGAUUAGCUAGUUGGUAGGGUAAAAGCCUACCAAGGCGACGAUCCAUAGCUGGUCUGAGAGGAUGAUCAUCCACACUGGGACUGAGACACGGCCCAGACUCCUACGGGAGGCAGCAGUGGGGAAUAUUGGACAAUGGGCGAAAGCCUGAUCCAGCAAUGCCGCGUGAGUGAUGAAGGCCUUAGGGUUGUAAAGCUCUUUUACCCGGGAUGAUAAUGACAGUACCGGGAGAAUAAGCUCCGGCUAACUACGUG